rnacentral:rRNA from 1 species
CGCACGGGUGAGUAACACGUAUCCAACCUGCCGUCUACUCUUGGACAGCCUUCUGAAAGGAAGAUUAAUACAAGAUGGCAUCAUGAGUCCGCAUGUUCACAUGAUUAAAGGUAUUCCGGUAGACGAUGGGGAUGCGUUCCAUUAGAUAGUAGGCGGGGUAACGGCCCACCAAGCCUUCGAUGGAUAGGGGUUCUGAGAGGAAGGUCCCCCACAUUGGAACUGAGACACGGUCCAAACUCCUACGGGAGGCAGCAUG